UGAGAUUGGCCUCCGUCACGGGGAUGACGUUCUCCUGAUCGAAGUCAGAGAUCAACAUGUUGAUCUUGAUCUUGAAUUUGGUCCCACUGGGCGUGCCAAAAGAUGUGUUGAUGCAAAGACUGAUCUGCAAACACAAAGGGCUAAUACCCGAUUUAAACGUUAAGGCGUGCCAGCCGAUUUGACCUUGCUAUCGGCAAAGGUGAUAACUCGAAUACUUUAGUCCUGACAACAGCGAUGCGCCCGGAUGUCACGGCUAAGAGGUACUCACGCGGAACUCGAGAAUACGCC
rnacentral:lncRNA from 1 species